GGUGAAUAAUAUAUGGUGAACAAUAUAUGGUGAACAAUAUAUGGUGAACUGCUACAUCUCACAUAUAGUGAACUGGUAUAUGAUGAAUAGUGCAUCUGGUAUGUGAUAAGCAGGUACAUUUGGUAUACAGUAAACAUACAUCUGAUAUAAGGUGAACAGGUACAUCUGGUAUAUGGUAAACAGAUGCAACUGGUAUAUAGUCAACAGAAACAUUUUGUAUGUAGUGAGCUGGUACAUCUGACGUGUGAUAAAAUGGUACAUUUGGUAUAUGGUAAACACAUCUAGUGUAUGGUGAACUGGUACAUGGCAAACAUACAUCUGAUAUAUGGUGAACAAGUACAUCUUGUAUAUGGUGAACUGGUGCAUCUGGUAUUUGGUGAACAGAAACAUCUGGUUUAUAGUGAAGUGUUACAUAACUAGUUUAAUAUUUGAUACUAUAGAGUGAAAUGAUGUGUACAAAUAUGUUGUUCACUAUUCCUGAACGAUUAAAGUACAGUUUAUUUGUGGCUAAUGCAGAUGUCUGUAGUUAAAAGUUGAGUCUCGUAAUCUGUGUCACGUAGUUACCAUAAUUAUAGAACAGGAACCUGUUUCCCACAUUUGAAAUUCUUAAAAUGUACAAAACCAGUCCAAUCCUGUUUUCCGUUCAUCUCGCUCUUCCACAUCUGACAUUUUCUAUGAAAGGACGAACUGACUAAAUUCCAUAUUAACACAUCAACAA